rnacentral:rRNA from 1 species
AAGUCGUAACAAGGUUUCCGUANGUGAACCUGCGGAAGGAUCAUUAACGAAUUAGCAAGGAUCUAUGGUUGUAGCUGGCCCUCUUGGGGGUAUGUGCACGCCUGGGUUCGAACUUUUCAUUUUACCACCUGUGCACCUUUUGUGGAAUCGCGAGAUGGGUUAGCAAUAAACCAUUUCAGAGUAACAUCCGGUUUUGAGACUUGCGCCUAAUCCGCGCUUGACUCUAAUUAUUAACAACCUGUUUCGCGGUUUUCACGUCAACUUUACACACUACAAAUACAAUCUAGAAUGCUUCAAAGUUGGGACUUUAGUGACCCUUCUUAAAUUUAAUACAACUUUCAACAACGGAUCUCUUGGCUCUCGCAUCGAUGAAGAACGCAGCGAAAUGCGAUAAGUAAUGUGAAUUGCAGAUUUCAGUGAAUCAUCGAAUCUUUGAACGCACCUUGCGCCUUGUGGUAUUCCACAAGGCAUGCCCGUUUGAGUGUCAUUGAAUCAUCAAACCUACAUCAUUUUUGUUGUUAGGCUUUGGUCUUUGAGGGUUUCUGCGGGCUCUUCACAGAGUCGGCUCCCUUUAAAUUUAUUAGCGAGACUUCCCUCUGCUGACCGUCUCCGGCGUGAUAAUUAUCUGCGUCGAAGUUUGCGGUUCUCGUUGGGCUUGCUUCUAAUCGUCUGUUUUACGGACAACUAGGAUUUGAAAAAGUGCAUAUAUGCGCUAUUUCCUCUUCCGAACUCUUUUGACCUCAAAUCGGGUAGGACUACCCGCUGAACUUA